UACACUGAACGGUGGAUCACUUGGCUCGUGGGUCGAUGAAGAACGCAGCUAAUUGCGCGUCAAAUUGUGAACUGCAGGACACAUGAACAUCGACGUUUCGAACG
rnacentral:rRNA from 1 species